AAUUAGGUCACCCCUACGCAAUGCGAUGACCUUUUGGUUACAUCACUCUUUGGAAAAUCUGCAGUGAUGCAUUCAGUAAUUCAGACUGGCGAAGUGGAAUAGACUUACAUAACGAAAACACGGUGCAUUGCCAUGUGGUUCGAGAUGAAGAAGCAUAAUGCUGGGUGAAUGCAUUCACUCUGUCCUUUAUUUGGAGGCAGGAUAAUGGAGAACAAGCAUGAAAACAUGUUGCAUCUUUUUGGAAAUAUGAUUUGAUUUUAUAAAAAAACGAAAAAUUUAGCUCAUGCUUAUUUCCCCAGAUUUUUGUGGUUAAGUGAGAAAUUAUAUCUGACAAGAUCAUAGUGCUUCAAUACCAUAAUGUUGUGGUGGUUGGCCUAGUAGGUGUCUAUGUGUGCACGCAAGCCAGAGAGUGCAUGAUGCAUUCUGACAGCUGUGCAUGGUAAAGAGCGCGAGCAAGUCAAUCCACCAAUCUGAUCGUGAGAGGUCAGGUUGUAUUAAAGGGCGUAGCUCCAGAGAAAACUUCCUCUUUAAGCUGCUUCUUCAUUCACGGAGCGCUCCUGCUGUUCGCAGUCUGGCUGGCAGUCAGUCCUCUGCAUUUAAAGACCAAUUUUGGCUGCUAGAAAUGCCAUAUUCUCUUCAUAGCUAACCUUUGAAGGUCCUGCUGGUUUUUCCAUUCCAGCUGUUUUUGGACUUUGCCUUGGAGCAACUUUGACAGCGUGGUCUUUCCUUUUCCCGAACAAGCGUGCAAUUGCAGCAAGGUUCACUCUUUGGUAUUACACGACCCUUGGGAGGUUCGUUUCAGCCUCGUCGUGCACAAAGACCGCAGUGAUGAUCAUCAGGCUCGGCAGACUGACUCCUGGAUACUUCCGUCUCCUGCAGAGGCAGGUAGCAGGUGAAGUUCAGGCCCCAACGCACGACCGCUCCGUCAACCAGAUCGCCAUGAUGCUGGCCAUCAUGGGCCUCAGCCUGUCGUAUUACAGUGCCAAACAAAUGACCGAGAAGGUUCGCCACGAACCCGCCCCGUGAAGAUUGACCUAACUGAAGCCAAACUGCAGAUGUUCAGAUGUCGAAGAUUCAGACUCUACCUUUCUAUAACCUCUAGGGAUCACACAACAUGGGUUCUCUCGCUUUAGUUUAGCUCUCAAUGGAUCUGGAAGGGGUUGUGGCCUGAGUUUUGAUAGUUGACUUGAUACAUGCAUCAGAGUCGGUCCUUUCAAAACCUGAGCUCCACAUGCAUCUGGAGCUCCACUCUGAGCCAUAAUGAGUUUUAAAGGGAAGGAUCUCUGUUUGAGAUGUACCAAGCAACUAUUGAAAGCAGGUCCAAUGCACAAGAGUAAAAUGCACAGAUUUCCCCCCGAAUGAUGCUGUGGAAGAACAACGGCGCUGCUCUACAAUACUACACUUGGUGUCAGACACUUUCUUUUCAUUCUACCUUAAGAAAAUAUCUUCUAAUUGGUCUUCAAACACUUUAGAUGUUAAUGUUGACUUUGUGUGCAAUCGCAUUAGUUUGAAGCAGUUUUGUUUUUAGUGCAACGAAUCUGUAAUGUUAUUUCUAAUGCUUUUUUUUUAUGAUAAUGUGAUUAAAAUGAAUGUACUGUAUGUUUUGUUUUUAAGACGCCACGAUCAAAUAAAGCUGUGAAUAUUUUGAACACGAUCAAGUCGUGACUCAAGAAGAUUUAGAAGAACGUUAUGAAAUUUGGCCAACUCAUUCCUGAGUCGAGUUUUACACGAAACCAUAUGAAAGAUUUUCCUGUCGGCAGAAGCGUGCUGCUGAACAGGAAGUGGGCACAGCCUCAGGCAACAGCUUCCUCUAUCUGCACGCAAUAUUUGUCUACCAGCGUGCUGCAGCUGGCUUUAUGUCUGAACCACUUACCAAAUUCAAUAGACGUUAAUAGAACAUUUGCACAUCAAGUAACUGGAGGUGUGUCUUCUGUGUGGAUCCCCUGAUAUGUGAUGCAAUUAAGAAACAAAAUUUACUCCUACAAGAACACAGAUGCUUCAAGCUCUCAAGCUUAUUUUUUUUUUUUUAGAUGUCAUUGUGCUCUAAAUUGGGUUUGAGUGCAACUUUAUUGCAUUCUCAGCAUUUCCCAAAGUGUGCUAUGGGGGUGUUGACAUUUUAUUUUGGGGGAAUUUUUUUUUUUUUGUUCUUGUUACAAUAACCAUCACACACAAAAAAAAAAUCAAUUUCUUGUUAUGCUCUUAUUACCAAACUUUGGAUUCAAUAUUUUUUCUUUAUUGAUUUUGUUCCUUUUCAAUUAGCACUUUUUUUUUCCGUGGAGCUCAUGCACCUGAAAAUUUUAAACAUUUUACACAUGAUUUCUUUUAACUCAAAAUGAGGUGCAUAAGCUCAGAUAAAUAAAGGCUUAUGAUCUCCUUUUGACUGGGUUAUCAGCACAGCACAGGGGUUGAUGUGGUGCUUUAAUGACGGUUGUAUAAGAAAAAAAAUCUUUCACCAUAUGAGUGUUGAGUUUCGUUACUACCACAACAAUGCAAAAAUGGGACGGUGUACUUCGAAUGUGUUAGAAUGUGUUGGUGUGCUUGCAAAAAGUAUGUUGCGUGCCUAUCAUUCCACUAAUAUCUGCAUGCUAUCAUUGUGAGCUAUCACUUUCAUUAGACAGACUUGUGUAGUCUGAUAAAUGAAGUGAGAUUACGUACAACUUGACGUUCUGUGAAUCAAAACCUUAUCAUAGUCUUCCUUAAACUCAGAAUUGUUUCAGAAACCCAAAUCUUGAGUCUGCUGAACGUGUGAAGGACAUGAGGAAGUUGAAAAUGUCAUGCAUUUUGUCUGCUUGCUUGCACGCUGGUUACUGCUGAUUAGUUCUGUUGGUUGCCUUUCUGAAAGUCAAAGGCUGAGUGUACGGUCCUUAAAGAUGAAGCAUGCAAUUGUUUUAUGUUUUAUUUCAGCUAAAAGGUAUAUUUUUCUCAAAAAUGUUGGUACUUUCAAAAUAUUGCAAAAAAUAUUAAAGUCUGACACUACAACUGUGGCUCAGCCAACCUGUUUGAAAACCGUUACAUUACCGUUUGGUGGAGUUUAUACACUUCAACUUGCCUGCUUUAUUUUGGUUAAAACCCAUGGGUGAAAUGCAUUUUAGCUGCCACCAAACAAGUCUGUAUUGUUUUUGAUUCCUUGCAGUCUGUAUGUGUUCAUAAGCGUUCGCAUGGAUGCUCGGGGCAGAUGUGAUGUCCUGUGACAGGCCGAGGCCGCAUUGCGUGACACAAGUUAUUCCUCCAAUCACCUUUAGCUGCUCCCUUUCCCGCUCUGCUGUCUGAUCACUGGGCAAAUUUGCCUGAAAAAUACUGCUGGGACAGUUUUAACAGGCUAGUUUAGGACAUGAACUGCAACACACUCGUCCCAUUGGCUGUACGGUGAUGCAUCAUGUGUUACAGAAACAAAGCGAGGGGAUCACGUUGGCGAAAGAGUACUGCAGAUGGUUGUUUUAUAAAAACAGAGAAGGGAUGAAUUAAGAAUAUGUGGUCUUUUCUGUUCGGUUUGAUGGAGGUUCAUGGAUGUAAAAGUGGAAGGAGCACUUUCAAAUAAUGUGUGACUGAUAUUGUAUACAUGAAUGUUUUGUAUUAAUGAAUGAGACUUUAAAAUGUGAAGGACUGAAAUGCUUUUGUUGCUCAUGUAAUGUUUCAUUAAACUAACUUCAAUAAUUAUA